rnacentral:rRNA from 1 species
ACGGGGUGCAGCAGGCGCGAAAACUUGUCAAUGCACGAAAGUGUGAACGGGCUACCCCGAGUGCCGUCCGCUGAGGAUGGCUUUUCUCUGCUGUAAGAAGGCGGAGGAAUAAGGAGAGGGCAAGUCUGGUGUCAGCCGCCGCGGUAAUACCAGCUCUCCGAGUGGUAGGGAUGAUUAUUGGGCCUAAAGCGUUCGUAGCCGGCCUUCCAAGUCUUUCGUUAAAUCCAGCGAUUCAAUCGUUGGACUGCGGGAGAUACUGUUAGGCUAGGGGGCGGGAGAAGCCGACGGUAUUUCUGGGGUAGGGGUAAAAUCCUAUAAUCCCAGGAGGACCACCAGUGGCGUAGGCGGUCGGCUAGCACGCGCUCGACGGUGAGGGACGAAAGCUGGGGGAGCAAACCGGAUUAGAUACCCGGGUAGUCCCAGCUGUAAACGAUGCGGGCUAGGUGUUGGAGCGGCUACGAGCCGCUUCAGUGCCGCA